rnacentral:rRNA from 1 species
AUUGAACGCUGGCGGCAUGCUUUACACAUGCAAGUCGAACGGUAACAGGUUAAGCUGACGAGUGGCGAACGGGUGAGUAAUGCAUCGGAACGUGCCCGAUCGUGGGGGAUAACACUUCGAAAGAAGUGCUAAUACCGCAUACGAUCUGAGGAUGAAAGCGGGGGACCGUAAGGCCUCGCGCGAUCGGAGCGGCCGAUGUCAGAUUAGGUAGUUGGUGGGGUAAAGGCUCACCAAGCCGACGAUCUGUAGCUGGUCUGAGAGGACGACCAGCCACACUGGGACUGAGACACGGCCCAGACUCCUACGGGAGGCAGCAGUGGGGAAUUUUGGACAAUGGGCGCAAGCCUGAUCCAGCAAUGCCGCGUGCAGGAAGAAGGCCUUCGGGUUGUAAACUGCUUUUGUACGGAGCGAAAAGGCUCCCUCUAAUACAGGGGGCUUAUGACGGUACCGUAAGAAUAAGCACCGGCUAACUACGUGCCUGCAGCCGCCGCGG